rnacentral:lncRNA from 1 species
CUACCCUCGGCGGAGAGCGAAGGCUCGCACCGGCCGUGGCAUCCAAUCCCUGUCCUGCCAGCUAUAGCCGGGCGGGGAGGAGGGAGCGGUUCCGGGUUCAGAAAGAGAAAAUCUCCAUCUAAGGCGAAGGGGUAGAAGGGAGGUCGAGGGAAGGCAAUAAAGUCACUUGUUUAAUCUCCUCUAUGCUGUAAAAUCCCCGAAGGCAGAAAUCACAUAGUCCUAAGUGUAUGGCACACAGAAGACGCUCAAUAAAUGGCUGAUUGGCAACUGGCCAUCGGACCCUGCUCGGAUGCAGCGCCAGUCCCGCCGCCCUACGCAGCAGUCCCCUCACCCCUCUCCCCCGGCGUCCUCCCUGCUGUGACAAGGCAAAUGAGACAAUGGGUUCGGCCAACCAACGCUUCCAAGCCUGCGGCCCGCGGCCGGGAAGUGUCCUCAAUCCGCUCGUCUAACACUGCAGUGGGUGCGGCCAAAGACCCCAGUCCACUCUCCGCGCCCCUGCCAAUGGGCGGGAAGCGGGGCCUCAGCCUCACUGCGCUGGCUCUGCCAGUGGCAGACGGAAUCAUCAGCCAACCGCACCCGGGCAGGACGCAUGCGCACCCAGAAGAUGUAGCCCUAGAUGGGGAAAAACCGAGCCGAGAGAGCCAAUUUUGGCUGGGUCUUGCCAGGUCUUGCCAGGUCUUCCCGGAGAGGGUGCGCAUGCGUAAAUCGAACACCUCCUCUAAAUCUAACGCCCUGCUCAGUUCUAGAGGGGACAGCGCCCUCUGUCCUCCUGGCCGUUUUCCUGAACUCCUAACCUCAGUCAAUACUGCCUCGGGACCUGGCGCUGCCUGGGAGAUCCAGAAGAAAGGAAGCAUCUUGGCCCCUGCCUUGGGGGCGACACGACCGUCCCCAAACACAGCGAGUCACUGGCCUGGGUCUUUGUGCAGAGGCCCCUCUAGGAGCGGGGAACCAACGAUGGCACGAACAUUGAUUUGAGGAGGAUGCUUCGCAGUUUACGAAAAAAUGAGUGCUAGAGGCGUUCAGAAACGGGAAAGAUCACUUUGUGCUCCUGUGAUCUGAAGGCUGCGUGAAGAAGAUGAGGCUUGGAAAAUAGGACUUACCACAUUACAGGACAGACCACAGUGCAUGUCUGUCUGCUCCAACAGAAGUGGCUUUCUUGAGGGAAGGAAUUCUGCCUUGUUCAACUUUAUAUUCCCCCACAGUGCCUUGCAGAAAGUAGGAGCCCAGAAAAUGUGUACUGAAUUGCUCAGAAUUGUGUGGUGAGGUAGAAAGUAUUGCUUAAUCUCUCCGAGACCUCAAUUUCCUUAUUUGUAAAUUAAACUGCUGAUUAAUUUCUAAAGUUCUUUUGAGUUACAGAAUUCUGUUACCCAACAAGGUUUCAGAGAUUGAGAAGAUUGAAUUAUUUGAUUUCUAAAUUCUUUUUCAACUUCAAUAUUAAAUGAUUUUAUAAUACCGAGUUGCAAGUGAUCUACAUGGAAAUGAUAGCUGAACAAGUUAUCAGAGGAAAAACAUGUGGGAAAAGAUUGAGAACAGAAGUAACAUCUAGCUAUCCAAUACGAGAGAGAGAAGCCACUGAAAGUAACAUGGAAGAGUCAGUCUGAAAAGCAGGGGAGAUAAUAAUAGAAGGAGUGACAGAAUCAGAUGCCUAGAGGACUAUCAUGCAAAUGAGUGAAGUGGUCCAGUGGUAAGCGUUAGGGAGUUGUGGAGACUGGAGAGGCCAUGGCCCAUCUAAAGUCAGCUGUGUCAUGUUACCAAUGUGAGUGUUGCCACAUCUUCCAGGUUUUUGUUUGUUUGUUAUUGUUGUUUUUGUUUUUUGUUUUUUUGCGACAGACUGGCUGUCACCAGGCUGGAGUACAGUGGCGUGAUCUCGCCUCACUGCAACCUUCACCUCCUGGGUUCAAACAAUUCUCCUGCCUCAGCCUCCCGAGCAGCUGGGAUUACAGGCGCACACCACCACACCUGGCUAAUUUUUGUGUUUUUAGUAGAGACGGGUUUCACCAUGUUGGCCAGGCUGGUCUCGAACUCCUGGUCUCAGAUGAUCCACCUGCCUUGGCUUCCCAAAGUGCUGGGAUUACAGACAUGAGCCACUACCCCUGGCCUAGUUUUUAAGAAGCUGGUAAUACAGAUUUUUAUUUGAAAUCUCAUGAUCUCUAUCAGGAAUAGUACCGAGUGAGUCCAGGUGUGGUGGCCUGUGCUUGUAAUCCCAACACUUUGGGAGGCUGAGGUGGGAGGAUUAUAUGAUCCCAAGAGUAAGACCAGCCUGGGCAACAUAAGGAGACCCUGUCUCUACAAAAAAUAAAACAAUUAGCCGAGAGUGGUAGAGAAUGCCUGUGGUCCCACCUAUUCAGGAGGCUGAGGUGGGAGGAUCAUAUGAGCCUGGGAGGUCAAGGCUUCAGUGAACCAUGAUCGCACCACUGUUCUCCAGCCUGGGCAACAGAGUGAGACUCUGUUUCAAAUAAAUAAAGAGCACUGAACAUAUCUGUACAUAUCUUUUAUUUCCUUAGAUUGAAUACUUAGAACUGCAAAUAGAGGGCCACGAAGUAUACGCAUUUGAAAAGAUUUUAAUACAUUUUGCCAAAUUGGCCUUCCAGAAAAAUUAUACCUCAGUAUAUGAUAACAUCCUUGCCAAUAUUGGAUAUUAUCAUUUUAAUUGUUGCCAUUGUAAUAGAUUAUAUCUGACCCUCCAACUCUCAGCUCCACCUUUUCCCUAAAUCCUUCAUCAUUCCCUUCCAAGUACCCUCACAACUCCCCUGGGGCACACAACUUAAUUGAAAGGCAGAGAGGGACCAAUUUCCCAUAGGGAUAAUUCCCAAUCUUCUCCACUUUCCUCUAACCCCACUGUUGCUGCUCUUGUUCAUAGAGGUUUCUAGGCCAACCUGCGCAAGCUUCCAAAGUAAUUUUUUUGUAACUCUUUAGUAUCUUCCUCUAUCUCCCUCUCUUCCUAAAUUCCUGUCUCUGAGAGAUUAUUUUCCCCCUCCUUGUUGAGAAUGACCUUUCAAAAGCACUUUGUCCUUCUUUCCUCCCCUAACCUUUGCAUUAUGCCAUUGCUGCCUCCCAUUAAUAGAGUAGUAAUUUCUUCCCUCUGCCAAAAACAUACUUAAAUCUCUUCUACACAAGAAAAAAGAAAAAGAAUUCCAUUAUCCUCAAACUACCAUAUUCUUUUCUCCUUCCUUCACCAUUAUUUUUUUUUUUUUUUGAGACGAAGUCUUGCUCUGUUGCCCAGGUUGGGGCGCAGUGGCACAAUCUUGGCUCACUGCAACCUCUACCUCCCAGGUUCAAGUGAUUCUCCUGCCUCAGCCCCCAGAGUUGCUGGGAUUACAGGCGCCCGCCACCACGCCCGGCUAAUUUUUUUUGUAUUUUUAGUAGAGAUGGGGUUUCACCAUGUUGGCCAGGCUGGUCUCGAACUCUGACCUCAGGUGAUCUGCCCACCUCAGCCUCCCAAAGUGUUGAGAUUACAGGCGUGAGCCACCACGCCCAGUCCCCAUCAGACUUUAGAGUGCUGAGAAGUGUCUAUUGACUCUCAUGUACCUCUCAGCAUCUUGAAUUCUGGGGUCCAGCUCCUCACUCCUGAAAUGGCAGUCUUCGGGGUCUUAGGCAACUUUAAAGCCCUAUCAAAAGCCUUUUCUUCACCUCGUGGUAGCCUGGGGUGCAGGUCCCUGCCCUUCCGCCUGAGGCUGUCUUCUCCCGGCUGCAUGGUUCGCCCUUUCCUGAUUCUCCUCUCUCAGUGAGGGCUGGGAUCCCGCAGGCCUGCAGGCCAUGUUCAUGUGUCUCAACCAUCACUCUCCUAGCUCUUCCCUCCCUCUGGGUUUUCUCACCUGAUCCUGUGGCUUCAGUUUUCUCCUUUAUCUUGCUGAUUCAUAGCCCAAAUGGAAUUCCAGACCCAAAUUAUGUAGUUGCCUCCUAGACAGCUCUACCUGGAUGCGAUUCCUCAAAUUCCACAGAUCUCAAACUGAAUUUGUUAGCCAGUUUCCCCCACCAUCCCCACUGCCACACACAGACAAAGAGAAAAACCCGCUCCUCCCACUGUGUUUCCUACUUUGGUCAAUGUCAUCAUCAAACUUUUAGUCAUCAUGCUCAAACCCAUAAAAAUAAUAGCUGCCACAUACUGAGUGCCUGCUUUAUUUGCCAGGUACCUUACAUGCAGAAUCAAAUCCAGUCUUUCCACAAUAACCGUGUAAGGCUGAUUUACUAUGUCCAUUUUUAGAGAUAAGGAAACUACCAGAAAGUGGUGAUAUUCAAUAAGUUUAGUUAGUGCCCACGCCUCUGUGUGGAGUUUCACCACAUAAUCUCUCCCUGCUCCUCAGUACCAUAUCCAGCCAGUUUCCAGGUCCCCCAUGUUCACUGUAUAGUACAUCUGCCCUCUCUUUAUCUGCCCACCACCAACUCCUUAGGCCAGCCUCACUGUUCCUUUCUCUCUCUCUCUCUCUCUUUUUUUUUUUUUUUUUUUUUUUUUUUUUUUUUUUUUUUUUUGGUAGAGACAGCAUCUUGCUCUGUUGACCAGGCUGGUCUCAAACUCCUGGCCUUAAACCAUUCUCCUGCUUGGCCUCCCAAAGUGUUAGGAUUACAGGCAUGAGACCACUGCACCUGGCCUCAGUGUUCUUUUGCCUGGAAAUUAGCAAACCUUCUUCAACUAUCACUGACAGAUGUCAUUAUAAAGCAUACUUUUAAACAUUACUCCUUACAAGUGAAAAUCCUAAAUGAUUCCUAUUGCCGAGUGGGGUUCUAACCCUUUAGCCUGGUGUCCAAGGCUCUCUACCCUCUAAUGCCAGCCUUAUCUCCUGCCUAUGCCCUUGGUGAACCUUAUAUUCCAUCUAGCCAAGAACACAAGUUUUCAGCAUGCCCUGCACUUCCCCCCAUGACCCAAGUCUUUGUUCUUGCUAUUGCUUCUCUCUGUAAUUCCCUUUCUUCCCUAUCUAACCCCCCUUCUCAUAUGUGUCUGUUGAAAUCCUAUCAAUACUUAAAGUCCAGUUCAGCUGCCACCUCCACAGAAAACCCUUUCUUUUUAAAAAUUAAUUGCCGGGCGCGGUGGCUCACACCUGUAAUCCCAGCACUUUGGGAAGCCAAGGUGGAUGGAUCACCUGAGGUUGGGAGUUCGAGACCAGCCUGACCAACAUGGAGAAACUCCAUCUCUACUAAAAAUAGAAAAUUAGCCAUGUGUGGUGGCACAUGCCUGUAAUCCCAGCUACUCGGGAGGCUGAGGCAGGAGAAUUGCUUGAACCCGGGAGGCAGAGGUUGCGGUGAGCCAAGAUCGCACCACUGCACUCCGUCCUGGACAACAAGAGCGAAACUCCACCUCAAAUAAUAAUAAUAAUAAUUAAUUAAUUAAAUUUUGAGACAGGGUCUCACUCGGUCACCAAGGCUGGAAUGCACUGGCGCAAUCAUAGCUCAUUGCAACCUCGAACUCCUGGGCCCAAGCGAUCCUCCCUCCUCAGCCUUCAAAAGUACUGGGAUUAUAGGCUUGAACCACCACACCUGGCCAGAAAACCCUUUCAAAUCUUCCAAGGAGUCAUUUAGGUCUACCUCUUCCAACUCCCACUCUUAGUAUUUUUGCCUUUUUUUAAACCAUAUUUUUCCUCAUCUCAGAGAUACUUUUGUAAAUGUUUGUCUCCCCCUCUACUCUUUUAUGUUCUCAGAGGAUAUGGACUAUUUCUUAGCCAUCUCUGUAUCUCGAACAUUAUCUCCCCCACUAAGCAGUGUCCAGAGUAGGCAUGUACAAUGUACCAAUUUUAGUUUGACUGAUUCAAAUUAAUCAAACAUUUGGUCCAUUCUUGCUAAUCCUUCCACUUCUGCAUUCCAGGUUCUGUCAGGUGAGCUGUUGUGCUGUAUGUCUGACCUGAAUUGCCUUUUAGGAGGGAAUCAGUACUUGGAAGCUGGAAUACAUCAGGGAUACCCCUAAAACGAGAGACUAUUUUUUUCCAUUGGAUUCUGACAUAAAUAAAUUUUGCCUACUUUGACAGUCAGUUCUGUCCUGAAUGUUGGGAAGAGGGAAGCCGUGUUCUGGGCUUUGAAGUCAUGCAGAUCUGGGUUCAAGUCCUGCCUCCACCACUUUCUGCUUGUGUGAUUCAGUGCCCAUUGCUUAACCUCUCAUGGAGUUGUGAGGAUUAAAUAAGAUGCAAGUAAAACACUUAGAAAGGUGCCUAGUAAAGAUUAAGAGCUUAAUAAUAGGAAUAGUAAUCAUGGGAAUAAAUAAAAUACAUUCAAACUGGAUUUUAUCUGUUUACAUUUGAGUAUGAAUAUGUCGGCCUUUCUGGAAAUUCACAUCAAUGUCGAUUAAAUGAUGCUACUUCCGGGACUUUCUUCCCAACCCAGCUCAGCCCCUCCAGCCCGCCUCCUUCGUUUCCUCUUCCCUGCCAUAGCCUGGUGCGGCCACCAGGAGGAGCAUUUGUGCCACAGAAGGAGUCUCACUCACCUCUCAGGCAGGAAAAAGCCCUCCUCGCUCUCCAGGCCAUAUCCACUCCCCUCUGGAGCACGGCUUGUUGUGACACCGCUGCCCUCUGCCUGUCUUCUCUUCCCGGCCUGGGAGGAGCUUUCUAUUCUAGGUUUCCAUUCUUAUUUUGGACAGCCCGAUGUAAAGACAUACACCCUCGGCCGGGCGCGGUGGCUCACGCCUGUAAUCCUAGCAUUGUGGGAGGCCGAGGCCGGCAGAUCACUUGAGGUCAGGAGUUCAAAACCAGCUUGGCCAUCCAUCGUGGUGAAACCCUGUCUCUACUAAAAAUACAAAAAGUUAACUGGGCAUGGUGGUGCGCGCCUGUAAUCCCU